rnacentral:rRNA from 1 species
GACGAACGCUGGCGGCGUGCUUAACACAUGCAAGUCGAACGGUGAAGCGCCUUCCUUUUUGGUGGGUGUGGAUGAGUGGCGAACGGGUGAGUAACACGUGAGUCACCUGCCCCCUUCUUCUGGAUAACCGCAUGAAAGUGUGGCUAAUACGGGAUAUUCUGGGUCUGUCGCAUGAUGGGUCUGGGAAAGAUAUUGUUUCGGUGGGGGAUGGGCUCGCGGCCUAUCAGCUUGUUGGUGGGGUGAUGGCCUACCAAGGCGGUGACGGGUAGCCGGCCUGAGAGGGUGGACGGUCACACUGGGACUGAGACACGGCCCAGACUCCUACGGGAGGCAGCAGUGGGGAAUAUUGCACAAUGGGCGCAAGCCUGAUGCAGCGACGCCGCGUGAGGGAUGGAGGCCUUCGGGUUGUGAACCUCUUUCGCCAGUGAAGCAGGCCUGCCUCGUUUGUGGGUGGGUUGACGGUAGCUGGAUAAGAAGCGCCGGCUAACUACGUG